UGCACAGCUGCACCGAGCAUUGCACGCCAGCACUGGUGCAAUCACACACCAGCUUUGGAGCAUUGCACGUUGUUGCACGCUGGCGCAGAGCAUUGCAUGCCAGAAUGGAGCAUCCGUUUUCCAGCACUGGAGCAUUGCACAGCUGCACCAGAGCGUUGCACGCUGCCACCAAGCAAACAAGUGCCACCAGCACUGCAGCGUUGCACAGCUGAGCACCAGAGCGUUGCACACCAGUGACACGCGUUGCAUGCCAGCAGUGGAGCGUCGCUGUGCUUGGAGCUGGCUGGAGCAUCACACACCAGCACUGGAGCAUCUCUUGCUGGUACUGGAGCAUUGCAGAGCAACACCCAGGCGUCACUUGCUGGCGCCAAAGCAUCACAUAGUGACCCGAGAGCAUUGCACUCCAGCACCAGGGCAUUGCAACCUGGCACCAGUGCACUGCAAACUGGAACCAGAGCGUUGCAAACUGGAACCAGAGCGUUGCAAACUGGAACCAGAGCGUUGCAAACUGGAACCAGAGCGUUGCAAACUGGAACCAGAGCGUUGCACGCUGGCACCAAAGCAUUGCAGACUGACGGCAGAGCAUUGCACGCCGGCCCCGGAGCACCCUCACGGCACACGCAAGUCGAGGACCCAGCGGUGUCCCCGUCCCACGGAGGAUCUCACUGCGCCCACGUGGGGACUGUGGGGGCCGUGGGGUCGUGCCACCCCAUGGGCAGUGCCUUAGAGCAGAGGGACCCCACACGUGGCCCCCAUGGAGGAGGAAGAGGAGGACAGCGAAGGCCCCCACGGGGAACCGCUGUGUCCCCAAGCCACCGCCACCACCCUGGAUGUCACUGUCACAAUGGGGCACAGUGCUCCUGGAGCCAACCCGUGAGCCCCAUGGACACCGGAGACCCCACAGACCCCACGGACCCCAUGGACUCCAGAGACUCCACAACCUCCAUGGACACCACAGACUCCAAAGAUCCCACAGACUCCAUGGACCUCAUGGACUCCAGAGACCCCAUCGAUCCCACAGAUCCCAUGGACCCCACAGACCCCAUGGACCCCAUGGACUCCAGAGACCCCCAUCGAUCCCAUAGACCCCACAGACCCUAUGGAUCCCAUAGACUCUCCAGACCCCAUGGACUCCAUGGACCUCAUGGACCCCACAGACCCCAUGGACCCCACAGACUCCAUGGAAUCCAGAGACCCCACGGACCCCAUGGACCCCACAGACUCCACAGACCCCAUGGGCCCCAUGGACUCCAGAGACCUCCAGUGAUCCCAGAGACCGCAUGGACGCCAUAGACCCUAUGGGUCCCAUAGACUCUGCAGACCCCAGGGACUUCAUGGACCUCAUGGACCCCACAGACCCCAUGGAUCCCACAGACUCCAUGGAAUCCAGAGACUCCCAUUGAUCCUGCAGACCCCAUGGACCUCACAAACCCCAUGGACCCCAAAGACCGCAUGGACUCCAUGAACCCCAUGGACUCCAGAGAC
ensembl:lncRNA